UACGUAGGGUCCAAGCGUUGUCCGGAUUUAUUGGGCGUAAAGAGCUCGUAGGCGGUUUCGUAAGUCGGAUGUGAAAACUCAGGGCUCAACCCGGAGACGCCAUCCGAUACUGCGAUGACUUGAGUCUGGUAGGGGAUCACGGAAUACCUGGUGUAGCGGUGAAAUGCGCAGAUAUCAGGUGGAACACCGAUGGCGAAGGCGGCCUUCUGGACGAUGACUGACGCUGAGACGCGAAAGCGUGGGGAGCAAACAGG
rnacentral:rRNA from 1 species